rnacentral:lncRNA from 1 species
UUCUUAAGAUUAUUUGCCCAAAACUUGAGGCUUACAAUCAAAUGAGAGAACAACAACAACUUGGAGAAGAUACACAGUUACCUCACAUGCUCCAAAAAAUGGUCUCUUUCCCAUCUCAAAAAACCCUCAAAGAUGGCAUUCCAAUGGCUUGGAGAUGCAAUCACAGAGCACACCAAUUGUUUCUGUAGACGAAGGGUACUCAAUGGUGGAAGAUGCUCGCUAGUGGAGAUGAUUGCUCAUAGAGAUCGAUGGUGGAUGGAAGUUGUUGCCCUCUCCUUAUUCUCUCCCUCUCUAUACCAUGGUGAGGAAAA